rnacentral:rRNA from 1 species
UACAGAGGGUGCUAGCGUUGUUCGGAAUCAUUGGGCGUAAAGCGCGUGUAGGCGGUCCGGUAAGUCCGCUGUGAAAGUCGGGGGCUCAACCCUCGGAUGCCGGUGGAUACUGUCGGGCUUGAGUACGGAAGGGGAGUGUGGAAUUCCCGGUGUAGCGGUGAAAUGCGCAGAUAUCGGGAGGAACACCAGUAGCGAAGGCGGCACUCUGGGCCGGUACUGACGCUGAGGAGCGAAAGCGUGGGGAGCGAACAGG